AGUUCUGGAAGCAAGUUCCAGGAACGAAGUAUCCUCAACUCAAGAAGACUAGCAUACGACUCAUUUCAAUUUCUGGCACAACAUACUGCUGUGAAUCUCUGUACUGUACUCAUCAAAUCAAAACACUGUGUGGUCCUUACAAAUUAACAUCUGACCAAGCUCCUCUGUACAGCCUUGACAAUGUAUCAACCAGAUUUCCGAAGAUUUAUGACCCGGAUGGAGACCCACCAGGCCUCUAGCUCUAGCAGAAAUUAGCCAUGAUACAGACUGCUGCUGGUCCAGAACACACUUGUGAAAAUUGAUAGUCACAGUAUACAGGCCACAAGGAGUACAUUAGAGCAGUGUAAACUCCGCAGAGCUGGGGAACACUGUUAAGACAUGCAUUUGUAAUAAGGAGAGGAAACAACACCUUGAAAACUGUAAAAGGAACCAAAGGCAUUCAAGCUGACAUUAGAAAUGUGAGGAACACUUGACCCAGAGCCAAGAGGAAAUCUGUGUGUGGAGGCCUAACAGGCUCAGCUUCCACACAAUGAUCACUGAAAAGCAUGGGAUUCAUUUAGCCUGCCAAGUACUCCCUGCCUCGUGUUUGCAGUGCAAUUCUGGAGAAGCUUUGGAGACCUGAGUUUCUGAGAGCCUCUCUGUCAUGUGGAAUUACUGUGGUGGAGCUGGCCAGUUGGCAAGUAGGGUACAGAGAAAAAGGAACAUUCCAUGCAGCUGCCGUUUCCCUCCAGGCAGCUCCCCCCAACCACCUUUCCAGCUUGAUCAAGGUUUUGUUUCCCCCUGAGCUAUC